rnacentral:rRNA from 1 species
GACAGAGGGUGCAAACGUUGUUCGGAAUUACUGGGCGUAAAGCGCGUGUAGGCUGCUUCGCAAGUCGGAUGUGAAAGCCCUGGGCUCAACCCAGGAAGUGCAUUCGAAACUGCAGAGCUGGAGUCCUGGAGAGGAAGGCGGAAUUCUCGGUGUAGAGGUGAAAUGCGUAGAUAUCGUAAGGAAGACCAGUGGCGAAGGCGGGUCUCUGGACAGUUCCUGACGCUGAGGCACGAAGGCCAGGGGAGCAAACGGG